GUUUUAAUAGUUAAUAAUAAUAAUAAUUUUGUAAAUUAUAGUUGAAUAUCCAUUCUUAAAACU
rnacentral:tRNA from 1 species